UCCAUGAUGCUCAUCUUUCCUGAUGCUA
rnacentral:piRNA from 1 species